rnacentral:rRNA from 1 species
GCCCAGACUCCUACGGGAGGCAGCAGUGGGGAAUAUUGGACAAUGGGGGGAACCCUGAUCCAGCGACGCCGCGUGAGUGAAGAAGUAUUUCGGUAUGUAAAGCUCUAUCAGCAGGGAAGAAGAAAUGACGGUACCUGAGUAAGAAGCCCCGGCUAACUACGUGCCAGCAGCCGCGGUAAUACGUAGGGGGCAAGCGUUAUCCGGAAUUACUGGGUGUAAAGGGAGCGUAGACGGUGAAGUAAGUCUGGAGUGAAAGGCGGGGGCCCAACCCCCGGACUGCUCUGGAAACUGUGCGGCUAGAGUACUGGAGGGGCAGGCGGAAUUCCUAGUGUAGCGGUGAAAUGCGUAAAUAUUAGGAGGAACACCAGUGGCGAAGGCGGCCUGCUGGGCAGUAACUGACGUUGAGGCUCGAAAGCGUGGGGAGCAAACAGGAUUAGAUACCCCCGUA